UCAUCCCUUUGUGACAUUAUGCCAGGGCAUCUUGUGUUUAGUUUUCUUUUUAGAUCUAUCCUGGUGCUUUCUGCUUUACAAUAUAUGGUCUACAAACAUGAAGCUGAUAAGAUCACACUUGAUGCUUCCACAUGUGGUUUGCUUACUUAAUGAACACAUUAUGUUUGGAAAUGUUUGUCCGCUUAUAGACAUAGAUCAUUGAAGAGUAAAAUGCAUCCCUACAAAUAUUAGAGGGUCUCAAGUUAAUCCUAAAACUUUCAAAACUGCAGAUUCGGGCUCUAAAACUAGUUUACUGGGAGCCCUAAGCAGCCCAGAUCAGCAUUGACUUGUUCACAUGUCAUUUUUUUUGCAGAAAGGACCUUAUAUAGGGUAGCCUAUUUGCCUUCUGACAUCGAAAUGCAUCUUACGUGUUCCCCGCAUAAGUCGGCUUAGAGGCAUCAGCUUUUUGUUGUGCACCGUGUGUGCGGCACGCCGUCGAUGUACCUCGUCCACUUCGGCGCGUCUAAAGCACGCAACACACUGAACCAUCUAUGCACCGCUACUGUGGUGCCCACGCAAGUUAUCAUAGCCACGGUGCCUGCAGAUUUAGCUCUACUCUGGUAGCCUCAGUCAUGCUCUCAACCUAUGCAUCGCAGAUAUCACGAUCACCAUUUAUUUUUGUGCUCAUCAUGCCGGUACGUGGCCACCGAGAUCAGCUUCUUCCGCCCUGCACAAAUGGCGCUCAUUCGCUAGACCCAGAGGUGCACGUCUGCUUCUCUGGACUGGGUUGAACACCAUCUUAGGCACCACCAUGUGCUCAGACCACGUUCUUGCUACUCGUGUCGCACCUGAAAACUGCACCGCCGGCCCCAGGAUUUCGUGACAACCGACAGUGGCAGCUGCCUGGACCCGCUACACAGAAUGUCAAGAACAUUCCUCAUCCAGCUCCGUCUGCUUGCCAUGGAGCUGUCACUGCCAGCAAUGGCCAAGGAGACACAAGUUGGUCACUAGGUGACAGAUCGUGAACCGCUCUAGACAGGCGUUUCGCGAGGCGAACUUCUGCCUUCUUCUUCCGCCGGUGAGGCUGCGGGUCCUCGACCCCUCCGCCCGUCGCUCCGGCAGCGGGAGGGGCCGGGGCCGGGGCCUGGGACCCCGGUGAUUCCGUUCCGGCGUGUAGUUUGAUUAGGCCUAGUCUUCCUUGGAGGCGCCACAUCACUGGCGGGAUCGACGCCGCGUCGGAAUAAGAUGGUCCUGCUUUUCCCCCACCUCGGUGAUGCUUCAAUUGGUAGCGCUGGGAGGCAGUUGGCCCCCGUGUCUCGCCGGAUUUCAGAUCUGACGAUGUUUGGUUGUGCUGGCCGGCGUUCGCCUAAUAUACUUAGUUUAACCUGUAUCUGUUUUAAUUCUGUUCUUUAUCCUACUAGUUUUUUCUUUGCCAAAUUACCCGAAGCUUAUGCUAUUUUCAAUCCAAUCGUGGAUAUUAUGCCUGUUAUACCUCUAUUCUUUUUUCUAUUAGCCUUUGCUUGGCAAGCUGCUGUAAGUUUUCGAUGAAAUCUUUAGUACUCUGUAUGCCAAAUUGAAUGAUGUGUUCAUUCCAAAAAAAAUUCAAAAAUGGGUAAAAGCCGAGAAGUUUUAUAUUUUUAUAUUAUGAACCUUCGAUUCUAAAAUUUAAAUUCUUCUACAUUGAAUGGGUAGCUACAGCAAUAAAUUUGGAUCAGCCUUUCUACUCCCCUGCACCUAGGUUGAGCAGGUAUAAAAAAAAACAUCCUAGUGGAUCCGUGUGGUAAGGAAAAACUGGUAAUCUAUUCCUUAAAAAAAAUCUUGGAGAUUAUGUAAUGCUUACUCUCAAACUUUUUGUUUAUACAGUAGUGAUAUUCUUUGUUUCACUCUUUAUCUUUGGAUUCUUAUCUAAUGACUCAGGACGGAAUCCUGGAUGCGAGGAGUAAAAAUUCAGUUUUUUUUUCUUAUUGGAUUUGUUUCAUACAUUUAUCUAUGAGAAAAUCCGGGGGUCAGAAUUCUUUCCAAUUUGAAAGUCCCAAAUGAUCCAAGGGAGCGGAAAGAGAGGGAUUCGAACCCUCGGUACAAAAAAAUUGUACAACGGAUUAGCAAUCCGCCGCUUUAGUCCACUCAGCCAUCUCUCCACGUUCCAAAGCGAAAGGUUUCCGUGAUAUGAUAUAGGCAAGAAAUAAGAAAUAACGGUUGCAAAAAACCCCCUUUUUUCUUUCAAAAGUCUAUAAAAAUUAUAUUGCCAAUUCCAUUUUAAUUAUAUUCUUUUUUCUUAAUGUUAAUAAAAAAAGAAGAAAAUUCUUGUUUUUUCUUUCUAAAAAUCGAUAUUGGCCGAGAGACAAUCAAAUAGAUUUUCUCUUUAGCGGGCAUUUCCAUAUAGGACUUGUUAUAAUUAUAAUAAAACAAGCAGGUUAUAUAAAAAA